GUGUCAGCCGCCGCGGUAAUACGUAGGUGGCAAGCGUUGUCCGGAAUCAUUGGGCGUAAAGAGCGCGUAGGCGGCUUGUCAGGUCUGAUGUGAAAUCUUAGGGCUCAACCCUAAGCGUGCAUCAGAAACCGACUGGCUAGAGUCCGGGAGAGGAGAGUGGAAUUCCUGGUGUAGCGGUGAAAUGCGUAGAUAUCAGGAGGAACACCGGUUGCGAAGGCGGCUCUCUGGAACGGUACUGACGCUGAGGCGCGAAAGCUAGGGGAGCGAACAGGAUUAGAAACCCCCGUAGUCC
rnacentral:rRNA from 1 species